GUGUCAGCAGCCGCGGUAAGACGAACCGUCCAAACGUUAUUCGGAGUCACUGGGCUUAAAGGGCGCGUAGGCGGCCGAGCGGGUCACGGGUGAAAUCCCCCAGCUUAACUGGGGAACUGCCCUUGAUACCACUGCGGCUCGAGGAAGGGAGGGGCAAUCGGAACUGUCGGUGGAGCGGUGAAAUGCGUUGAUAUCGACAGGAACGCCGGUGGCGAAAGCGGAUUGCUGGUCCUUUUCUGACGCUGAGGCGCGAAAGCCAGGGGAGCAAACGGGAUUAGAUACCCCGGUAGUCCUGGCCUUAAACGAUGUCGACUGGAUGUUGGGCACACUUUGGUGCUCAGUAUCGAAGCUAACGCGUUAAGUCGACCGCCUGGGGAGUAUGCGCGCAAGCGUGAA
rnacentral:rRNA from 1 species